UACGUAGGCAGCGAGCGUUGUUCGGAGUUACUGGGCGUAAAGCGUGCGUAGGCGGUGGCCCAAGUCUGGUGUGAAAUCUCCCGGCUUAACCGGGAGGGUGCGCCGGAAACUGGGCUGCUGGAGUACGGGAGAGGCAAGCGGAAUUCCUGGUGUAGCGGUGAAAUGCGUAGAUAUCAGGAGGAACACCCGUGGUGCAGACGGCUUGCUGGACCGUGACUGAUGCUGAGGCACGAAAGCGUGGGUAGCAAACAGG
rnacentral:rRNA from 1 species